UCCUGCCCCUGCCGCCUGCAGCACACACAGAAUAAAACAAGCAACAACCCAUCAAGUUAUCUGCUAUGUCGGUUAGGAUAACCAUCUCCGAUGGCUUCACGAAGAGCCUUUAAUAACGGCACUACUUACAGAAAGGAUUAAAAGAGCAAACAAGAAGGUGAGGCCCCCAGAGACUUCCCACAACUUAUUGAUGUCUCUUGGGCUAAAGAAACAAGAAGAGGAAGUAGAGCUGGCAGAGCAGGGGCCCUGUGUGUGUUCUAAAACCACAAAGGGACACAGCUGCUGUAAGAGAUUCUGCACUGAGCAAGAGGAAAUGGGGAAAAGUUCCUCCUUCACACAGUCUCUCUCUUGCCACCAUGUAAGACAUGCCUGCUUUCCCUUCUGCCAUGACUGAGGCUUCCAUGUGGAACUAGAGACUGGCAGACAGACAAUGCCUCCUAUUGAACCAGCAAGAGAGAAAAUCAUGUGACUCAUCUGAUUCCAUCACUAGGCUUCUGUGGGGGAAUCCUGAAAAAGGAUACAGCUUAUGGACUCUUUCUUCCAACGAAGCUCAUCGUGCUAGAAGCUUUAAUAGCCUAGGACUUGCUUCCAGGAUUUUAAGAAUGAGUUCAUCUUAGCAUCAUCCACAUACAUAAGGAAAAUUCACCAAAAUGUCAACUAUGUCAUUAACAAAACACUAAAUUGCAGUGAACCUUUCAUUGACCAGAAGAACACGAAAUAACUCAUGUGCAAAACAAGAUGUAAUUGUUCAUGGUUCUUCAAGGCGAGUAUACAUGAAGAGAAAUUCAAGUAAUGAGUUGAUUUCAAAUCUACAUUUAUU